GCAGCAGUGGGGAAUAUUGCGCAAUGGGGGAAACCCUGACGCAGCAACGCCGCGUGAGUGAUGAAGGCCUUAGGGUUGUAAAGCUCUGUUAUCUGGGACGAUAAUGACGGUACCAGAGGAGGAAGCCACGGCUAACUACGUGCCAGCAGCCGCGGUAAUACGUAGGUGGCGAGCGUUGUCCGGAUUUACUGGGCGUAAAGAGUGCGUAGGCGGAUGUUUAAGUGAGAUGUGAAAUACCCGAGCUCAACUUGGGUGCUGCAUUUCAAACUGGGCAUCUAGAGUGCAGGAGAGGAAAGCGGAAUUCCUAGUGUAGCGGUGAAAUGCGUAGAGAUUAGGAAGAACACCAGUGGCGAAGGCGGCUUUCUGGACUGUAAC
rnacentral:rRNA from 1 species